AAUGUUCCCUGCUCUGCAUAGGGGUAGGAUUCGAAACCUCUUGAAGGUCACACAAGCUUUCCUACUCAACUCCUAUUCCGCAACGUCCUCGUCGUGCAGAGCGGUAACGUUUACCACCGUAUAUCCAAGCUUAUGUAUACGGGCUAGAUCCAACCCCUUGGAGGGAUGGGGAGGGGGUAAGUAGACCGGA
rnacentral:ribozyme from 1 species